AAACUAAAUUUAUGAGUUUACAUCUGUUCCAUCAAUGACCACGGUGCACACCUGUUUGGCUUCAUGGCCGGCAACUACAGAUCUAGGUAUCCAAGAUCAAGAGGGACAAUUACAUAUUAUAAGCUGCACGGAGAAGAGUAAUCAAGGUGGACAUGAACUUGUGCUAUAUACCCCAAUCUGCAGGCAUCAGAUGUUAUGACUGCCUCCACUCUCUGCAUUUUGAGAAAGCCUCUACAGAAAUUCUCAAAGGAAUGGGUAAAGACAUGAGUAUUUUU